AAGAAGCAAAGUUUUCUAUUUUUUGGGAUGGCAAAGCGUGCAGCAGCAGCACAGCGAUGCUCUCCAUGUUGUGGGAGGGAAGAACGUUCAAUAAUAGGAACAAAGCCAGAUAAAGAUAAUUCCAUAAACAAGUCAGAUGAAUCAUCAGAGACAAGAUCAAAGUGUUUUCAGCUUCCAAGGUGUUGUACAAGAACACAGAAAAAAGGAGAUAUGUUUUAUAAAAGAAGAGAAGCCUCCAACACUACGAUUCGCACGUUUCUUUGUUGUCUGGUUUGGGAAGCUUGUUUUGAUCCAGGCACCAGCACCACCUCCCAUCAAUAGACUUGUUUUUACUCUAUAGUUUGGAGCCUCAAAAUCUGAAUGUUUAAUUCUAUUUAAGCUUUCAAUUUGA